rnacentral:rRNA from 1 species
GCACAAGCGGUGGAGCAUGUGGUUUAAUUCGACGCAACGCGAAGAACCUUACCUGGAUUUGACAUGCACAGGACGAUCGCAGAGAUGCGGUUUCCCCUGUGGUCUGUGUGCAGGUGGUGCAUGGCUGUCGUCAGCUCGUGUCGUGAGGUGUUGGGUUAAGUCCCGCAACGAGCGCAACCCUUGUCUCAUGUUGCCAGCGCGUGAUGGCGGGGACUCAUAAGAGACUGCCGGGGUCAACUCGGAGGGAGGUGGGGAUGACGUCAAGUCAUCAUGCCCCUUAUGUCCAGGGCUUCACGCAUGCUACAAUGGCCGGUACAAAGGGCUGCGAUAUCGCAAGAUGGAGCGAAUCCCAAAAAGCCGGUCUCAGUUCGGAUUGGGGUCUGCAACUCGACCCCAUGAAGUCGGAGUCGCUAGUAAUCGCAGAUCAGCAACGCUGCGGUGAAUACGUUCCCGGGC